rnacentral:piRNA from 1 species
UUGAACUUAGUUGACAGGAGGCCAAGAAGC